rnacentral:rRNA from 1 species
CCUACGGGUGGCUGCAGUGAGGAAUAUUGGUCAAUGGUCGGGAGACUGAACCAGCCAAGCCGCGUGAGGGAUGAAGGUACAGAGUAUCGUAAACCUCUUUUGUCAGGGAACAAAGGCCGGGACGUGUCCCCGGAUGAGUGUACCAGAAGAAAAAGCAUCGGCUAACUCCGUGCCAGCAGCAACGGUAAUACGGAGGAUGCUAGCGUUAUCCGGAUUUAUUGGGUUUAAAGGGAGCGCAGCCGGUCUGUUAAGUCAGCGGUAAAAGCCCGGGGCUCAACCCAGGACCGCCGUUGAAACUGGCAGUCUAGAGUUGGAGAGAAGUAUGCGGAAUGCGCGGUGUAGCGGUGAAAUGCAUAGAUAUCGCGCAGAACUCCGAUUGCGAAGGCAGCAUGCCGGCUCCACACUGACGCUGAGGCACGAAAGCGUGGGUAUCGAACAGGAUUAGAUACCCCUGUAGUC